AUUGAACGCUGGCGGCAUGCUUUACACAUGCAAGUCGAACGGUAACAGGCCGCAAGGUGCUGACGUGUGGCGAACGGGUGAGUAAUGUAUCGGAACGUGCCCAGUCGUGGGGGAUAACGCAGCGAAAGCUGUGCUAAUACCGCAUACGAUCUAUGGAUGAAAGCGGGGGACCGUAAGGCCUCGCGCGAUUGGAGCGGCCGAUAUCAGAUUAGGUAGUUGGUGGGGUAAAGGCUCACCAAGCCGACGAUCUGUAGCUGGUCUGAGAGGACGACCAGCCACACUGGGAAUGAGACACGGCCCAGACUCCUACGGGAGGCAGCAGUGGGGAAUUUUGGACAAUGGGCGCAAGCCUGAUCCAGCAAUGCCGCGUGCAGGACGAAGGCCUUCGGGUUGUAAACUGCUUUUGUACGGAGCGAAACGGCCCUCUCUAAUAAAGAGGGCUAAUGACGGUACCGUAAGAAUAAGCACCGGCUAACUACGUGCCAGCCGCCGCCGUAA
rnacentral:rRNA from 1 species